rnacentral:rRNA from 1 species
CAUGCAAGUCGAACGAUGAAGGGAGCUUGCUCCUGGAUUAGUGGCGAACGGGUGAGUAACACGUGAGUAACCUGCCCUUAACUCUGGGAUAAGCCUGGGAAACUGGGUCUAAUACCGGAUAUGACUCCUCAUCGCAUGGUGGGGGGUGGAAAGCUUUUUGUGGUUUUGGAUGGACUCGCGGCCUAUCAGCUUGUUGGUGAGGUAAUGGCUCACCAAGGCGACGACGGGUAGCCGGCCUGAGAGGGUGACCGGCCACACUGGGACUGAGACACGGCCCAGACUCCUACGGGAGGCAGCAGUGGGGAAUAUUGCACAAUGGGCGAAAGCCUGAUGCAGCGACGCCGCGUGAGGGAUGACGGCCUUCGGGUUGUAAACCUCUUUCAGUAGGGAAGAAGCGAAAGUGACGGUACCUGCAGAAGAAGCGCCGGCU